GACGAACGCUGGCGGCGUGCCUACUACAUGCAAGUCGAACGCAGUGGGGACGGGUGAGUAACACGUGGGUAACCUCCCAUCAGAGGGGAUAACACUUGGAAACAGGUGCUAAACCGAUACUGAUUGAUGGACCCGCGUGGCCUUAGCUAGUUGGUGAGGUAACGGCUCCACAAGGCCACGAUGCAUAGCCGACCGGAGAGGGUGAUGGGCAAGACGGGGACUUAGAAACGGCCCAGACUCCUACGGGAGGCAGAAGUAGGGAAUCUUCGGCAAUGGACGAAAGUCUGACCGAGCAACGCCGCGUGAGUGAAGAAGGUUUUCGGAUCGUAAAGCUCUGUUGUUAGAGAAGCGGUAUCUAACCAGAAAGCCACGGCUAACUACGUGCCAGCAGCCGCGGUAAUAC
rnacentral:rRNA from 1 species